CUGGCUCAGGACGAACGCUGGCGGCGUGCUUAACACAUGCAAGUCGAGCGGUAAGGCCCUUCGGGGUACACGAGCGGCGAACGGGUGAGUAACACGUGGGUGAUCUGCCUCGCACUCUGGGAUAAGCUUGGGAAACUGGGUCUAAUACCGGAUAUGACCACGGAUCGCAUGGUUUGUGGUGGAAAGAUUUAUCGGUGCGAGAUGGGCCCGCGGCCUAUCAGCUUGUUGGUGGGGUAAUGGCCUACCAAGGCGACG
rnacentral:rRNA from 1 species